rnacentral:rRNA from 1 species
CCCUUAGAUGUUCUGGGCCGCACGCGCGCUGCACUGAUGCAUUCAACGAGUCUAAAACCUGCUCUGAUAGGGGUGGGUAAUCUUUUGAAUGUGCAUCGUGAUUGGGAUAGAUGAUUGCAAUUUUUCAUCUUCAACGAGGAAUGCCUAGUAAACGCAAGUCAUCAGCUUGCAUUGAUUACGUCCCUGCCCUUUGUACACACCGCCCGUCGCUCCUACCGAUUGAAUGAUCCGAUGAAUAUCAUGGAUUGAGGAUGCAAGUAGGUUCGCCUAUCUUCAUCUUCGAGAAGUGAAGUAAAGCUUAUCAUUUAGAGGAAGGAGAAGUCGUAACA